AGUGCCUGUUUAAAGAGGGUUGUAUCUGGGUGUGGGGGGGUAUAGUUUAAAAAAACAAAAUCCACAACUAGGAACUGGCACAUGUGAUCAGCUAAGGAGUAAGCACAUGGGCCUCUGACUGGUGGAUGAACCAAGUGCACCAAUCUAGGUGAGUUUCAGUCUUCAAAAGGUUCCCUCCAGCCCUUCCCCCUUGGUACCCUCCAAAAGGAGUUGUCAGUGGACAGACAGAACAGCCUAGCUGGGUCUAUCCUCAUGAGAGUUGCUAUUUCCCAGCAAGCUACAACUCCACACUGGCCCUUUUUCACGUUGCCCCUUUCAAGUGGGACGUAGAACCUCAAGGAGUUUUAACCAGUGCUGGCCUCCCCUCCUCCCCCCAGGGAACAUGCACACAGCUGCCUUACUGCACUGGCUUGCUUUUGGUUCGUUUAGGAGGCUCUUGAUCCUCCUGGGAGGUCAGAAUAUCAGCAACAGGGAGAUUCACUGGGCUGGGGGCCUGGCCAACAAGAAAGUCUUUUAAAAAGAGUCCAGUUAAGCAACUUCACAUAAACCGAGGACACUGAACCCUCCUGCCAGGAGAAUAAGCAGGACUCAGCAAUCCUGUGCUCCAAACGGCCGAGGCUGUCCUGGGCGCCAGGAAACAAUCCCCUCCCCAAGGCUCAUUGCAGGGACCAUUAAGACAUCCUUUUUCUACCUUGCUCUUCCACACUAAGUUUCCCUUUGGUCUUGGGCAGGUGCCCCCGAGGGAGGUUGCCCAUUUCAAACGGCCGAAGGCCUGGCUUCAGGGUUCUGAUAAGCUCCCAGCCAUUCCUGAGACCAUAAAUUCAGCUCCCCUCCUCCCACCUGAUUUCCCCAGUUAAUUACUAAACUGUUAAUUUCAAGACCAAACAUCGCUUGUAUUGCUAGCAAAAGUGCAUCGUAAAACGAAAGUGUAAACGAGUCCCUCCUCCACGCAUCACCGUACCAGAGACUCGGCUAACACAGCGAUUGAUCGCCACCACAAGGAAAGAGCUUUAACCAAAUGGGGACGGGGAGCUUACAGGGAAAACACAAUCUUUAAAAGAAAA